AUUGAACGCUGGCGGCAUGCCUUACACAUGCAAGUCGAACGGCAGCACGGGUGCUUGCACCUGGUGGCGAGUGGCGAACGGGUGAGUAAUACAUCGGAACAUGUCCUGUAGUGGGGGAUAGCCCGGCGAAAGCCGGAUUAAUACCGCAUACGAUCUACGGAUGAAAGCGGGGGACCUUCGGGCCUCGCGCUAUAGGGUUGGCCGAUGGCUGAUUAGCUAGUUCGUGGGGUAAAGGCCUACCAAGGCGACGAUCAGUAGCUGGUCUGAGAGGACGACCAGCCACACUGGGACUGAGACACGGCCCAGACUCCUACGGGAGGCAGCAGUGGGGAAUUUUGGACAAUGGGCGAAAGCCUGAUCCAGCAAUGCCGCGUGUGUGAAGAAGGCCUUCGGGUUGUAAAGCACUUUUGUCCGGAAAGAAAUCCUUGGCCCUAAUACGGUCGGGGGAUGACGGUACCGGAAGAAUAAGCACCGGCUAACUACGUG
rnacentral:rRNA from 1 species